CCUACGGGCGGCAGCAGUAGGGAAUAUUGCUCAAUGGGGGAAAGCCUGAAGCAGCAACGCCGCGUGGAGGAUGAAGGUUUUCGGAUUGUAAACUCCUUUUGUUAGAGAAGAUAAUGACGGUAUCUAACGAAUCAGCACCGGCUAACUCCGUGCCAGCAGCCGCGGUAAUACGGCGGGUGCAAGCGUUACUCGGAAUCACUGGGCGUAAAGAGAGCGUAGGCGGGAUAGCAAGUCAGAUGUGAAAUCCUAUGGCUUAACCAUAGAACUGCAUUUGAAACUGUUAGUCUAGAGUACGGGAGAGGUAGGUGGAAUUCGUGGUGUAGGGGUAAAAUCCGUAGAGAUCAAGAGGAAUACUCAUUGCGAAGGCGACCUGCUAGAACAUAACUGACGCUGAUGCGCGAAAGCGUGGGGAGCAAACAGGAUUAGAUACCCUGGUAGUC
rnacentral:rRNA from 1 species